GGGAAGAGUGAGAUCGGGGAAUGAGGAAGGAGAUUGACAAGUAGAGCAGAGGGAAUGGGUAGAUCAGAGAAUGGAUAGCAAAUCAAAGAGAAAAGCAGAGAAAGGGAGAUGCGAUCCUUGCCUGCGACGCUGCGUUGAAGAUAUGGAGAUGUAGGAAUGCAUUGAUAUUCAAACAAUAGUAGCAAGUAUUUGAGGAGAUUCUACUGGCGGCAACCAAGUUGCGAGAAGAAUAGACAGCUAAUGUUACACAAGGCCCAAAUUCACCACCGGCUCCCGAAAUGCAACAUGUUCAAUCUUAGUCACUACCAACACAACAUUCACUCAAAUUGAACUUUGAUGCAGCAUUAGAUAAGAGAUGUAACAAAGGAGCUGCAGUUGUGGUAUGUCGCAAUCAUUUAGGCCACAUAAUAGAAUAUAGAUGUAGCUUAUGGCCUGAUAUUCGAGACCUGCUUCUCAUAGACUCUUAUCAAGAGAACUUUGUAUUUCAUGUUUUGCCACCUUGAUGGCUUUUAUGAAUUAUCUGCCUUUGUUAUUUAAAAAUAAAAAAAAUA
rnacentral:misc_RNA from 1 species